rnacentral:rRNA from 1 species
GGGGAAUAUUGCACAAUGGAGGAAACUCUGAAGCAGCGACGCCGCGUGAGUGAAGAAGGUCUUCGGAUCGUAAAACUCUGUCCUUGGUGACGAAAAAAAUGACGGUAGCCAAGGAGGAAGCCCCGGCUAACUACGUGACAGCAGCCGCGGUAAUACGUAGGGGGCGAGCGUUGUCCGGAUUUACUGGGCGUAAAGGGUGAGUAGGCGGUAAUAUGUGUCAGAUGUAAAAGGCUAUGGCUUAACCAUAGUUAGCAUUUGAAACUGUAUUACUUGAGUGCAGGAAAGGUAAGGGGAAUUCCUAGUGUAGCGUUGAAAUGCGUAGAUAUUAGGAGGAACACCAGUGGCGAAGGCGACUUACUGGACUGUAACUGACGCUGAGUUACGAAAGCGUGGGUAGCAAACA